UACGUAGGGGGCAAGCGUUGUCCGGAUUUAUUGGGCGUAAAGAGCGUGUAGGCGGCUAGGUAGGUGGGUUGUGAAAACUGGAGGCUCAACCUUCAGACGUCGACCCAAACCCCCUGGCUAGAGUCCGGAAGAGGAGAGUGGAAUUCCUGGUGUAGCGGUGAAAUGCGCAGAUAUCAGGAAGAACACCCGUGGCGAAGGCGGCUCACUGGACCACAACUGACGCUGAGGCGCGAAAGCUAGGGGAGCAAACAGG
rnacentral:rRNA from 1 species